UACGUAGGGUGCAAGCGUUGUCCAGAAUUAUUGGGCGUAAAGAGCUCGUAGGCGGCUUGUCACGUCGGGUGUGAAAGACCGGGGCUUAACUCCGGUUCUGCAUUCGAUACGGGCUAGCUAGAGUGUGGUAGGGGAGAUCGGAAUUCCUGGUGUAGCGGUGAAAUGCGCAGAUAUCAGGAGGAACACCGGUGGCGAAGGCGGAUCUCUGGGCCAUUACUGACGCUGAGGAGCGAAAGCGUGGGGAGCGAACAGG
rnacentral:rRNA from 1 species